AUUGAACGCUGGCGGCAGGCCUAACACAUGCAAGUCGAGCGGAUGAAGGGAGCUUGCUCCUGGAUUCAGCGGCGGACGGGUGAGUAAUGCCUAGGAAUCUGCCUGGUAGUGGGGGAUAACGUCCGGAAACGGGCGCUAAUACCGCAUACGUCCUGAGGGAGAAAGUGGGGGAUCUUCGGACCUCACGCUAUCAGAUGAGCCUAGGUCGGAUUAGCUAGUUGGUGGGGUAAAGGCCUACCAAGGCGACGAUCCGUAACUGGUCUGAGAGGAUGAUCAGUCACACUGGAACUGAGACACGGUCCAGACUCCUACGGGAGGCAGCAGUGGGGAAUAUUGGACAAUGGGCGAAAGCCUGAUCCAGCCAUGCCGCGUGUGUGAAGAAGGUCUUCGGAUUGUAAAGCACUUUAAGUUGGGAGGAAGGGCAGUAAGUGAAUACCUUGCUGUUUUGACGUUACCAACAGAAAAAGCACCGGCUAACUUCGUG
rnacentral:rRNA from 1 species